CUCUCUCAUAUAUGGUAACGUCACACCCUCCCAUCACAUGUCAAGGAAAUAAACAACUACCUGACUUUUAGAAGGCUUCUGAAGGCGGCUCUGUUUAGGGAAGUUUUUAAUGUCUGAUGUUUUAUGCUAUUAUUAUUAUUAUUAUUAUUAUUAUUAUUAUUAUUAUCAUUAAUUCUGUUGGAAGCUGCCCAGAGUGUUCAGGGAAUGAAUGAAUGAAUAAAUAAAAUUAUUAUUAUUAUUAUUAUUAUUAUUAUUUACUUUUGUAAUUAUACUGGGUCCUGCCCUAUCAUUGUUAAGUACUUGUAGGUCCCAUUGUUUUCAAUGGGGGAAAUUAGCUAUUCCAUUCUGGUCAGCUAGACCAAACUGAGAGAAAACUCUUAAGCCAAAUGGUUUAGUAGUUCGUAAUAAUAAUAAUAAUAAUACAGUGGAACUUCUAUUUGCAACCAUAAUCCAUUCUGGAGGUCCGUCUGGAGGUUGAAACGGGUCGCUGGGAGAGGUGCUGUUGUGCACAGGUGUGGGUGGCGACUGCCCGCUUCUGCUCAUGUGCAAAUGGCAAUCGCCAUUCCUGCGCAUGCGCGAACGGUGGCAAACCCACCGGUUACUUCUGGGUUUGCCGCAGUUGCGACUUGGAACAACCAUAAGAAGAGGCGGUGGUAAGUAGAGGUUUGACGUAAUAAUAAUAAUAAUAAUAAUUUAUUUAUUAUACCCUGCCCAUCUUGCCAGGCCUCCCCAGCAACUCUGGGCGGCUUCCAACAGGAUAUUAAAAAACACAAUAAAACAUCAAGCAUUAAAAACUUCCCUAAACAGGGCUGCCUUCAGAUGUCAUCAACUCUCAUUUCUAUGAACAGAUGAAAUAUUACUAAUACACAUUAUUUGUGACAGACCCUGAACUGUACAUGGAAAGGUUAACUCUGCACUGGAAGAGAAAAGACUGUGGUAUCUUGCUGAAUUCAUUCAGGCUUACUGAAAACCAUCUUCAUUACCAAGGGACCCCAGGAAGGACCAGCUGAUUUUAUAUAAUGGAAGGAAUUCUGAGCCCAGGCAUAGAAAAUUGUGACCGUCCAAUGUUUCUUAGACUCCAGCUUCCAGCAUCCCUGACUUCUGGCCCUGUUGGCUGGGACCAGGGCUGGUGCACCCAGCAGGCAGGGUGCUGCCGCCACCUCAGGCAAUGCAAGCCCCCCAAGGUGAAGCCUGCACAGCCUGCCGUGCCACCUCCGCCAACAGCGAAGAAGCAGUGCUGGUAUUGGUGCCAAUUUCGGGUGAGAUCUUACCCAAAAUUGGAGGUGGAGGCAGCAGCAGCAGGACAGCACUUCCCUCCUUCACCUCAAGUGACAAAAGGGCUGCUGUCAGGGCAAACUGGAUUUUAAUUAUUGAUUUGAAUUGUGUUAAUUAUUCCUUUAAGUUUUUUUUUUUUUAAUACUUUGCAUUUUAUAAUGUUUUACAUGUUUUAAGCUGCCUUCAAUUCCAACUUGGGAGAAAGGCAGGAUAUAAAUACGACGAAGAAGAAGAAGAAGAAGAAGAAGAAGAAGAAGAAGAAGAAGUCAGACAGAUAGACAGUUGUAGUGCAUUGAGUGGUUUGCCCAUAAUUUUGGCGGAGACAAUGCACAUUUCCUUUUCAACCACUAUUCUUAAAGAAAAGAAAAUGGAUUGUGCUGCAUGGACUCUGGUUGUCUGGGUACUGUGCUAGGGCUCUGGGCUAGCCCUUGUAUCUUCUGGGCUAUAUCUAAUGCAUGCUUUGUUUACCCUCCUUAAAGGUAAAGGUAAAGGUAAAGGGAC
rnacentral:lncRNA from 1 species